rnacentral:rRNA from 1 species
GUGGGGAAUAUUGGACAAUGGGGGCAACCCUGAUCCAGCAAUGCCGCGUGAGUGAAGAAGGCCUUAGGGUUGUAAAACUCUUUCAGUGGGGAAGAUAAUGACGGUACCCACAGAAGAAGCUCCGGCUAACUCCGUGCCAGCAGCCGCGGUAAUACGGAGGGAGCUAGCGUUGUUCGGAAUUACUGGGCGUAAAGCGUACGUAGGCGGAUUGACAAGUUGGGGGUGAAAUCCCAGGGCUUAACCCUGGAACUGCCCUCAAAACUAUCGAUCUAGAGACCGGGAGAGGUAAGCGGAAUUCCUAGUGUAGAGGUGAAAUUCGUAGAUAUUAGGAAGAACACCAGUGGCGAAGGCGGCUUACUGGACCGGUACUGACGCUAAGGUACGAAAGCGUGGGGAGCAAACAGGG